GACUUGAAUAAAGACAACUGAACUUGAUUGAAUAAUAAAAUAAAUAACACGGAAGAAAUUUAUUUCAUCUUCUAGAUAGCAGCAGCCUACAGGCCUAUCUUUGUUUUCAUAUUUUUACAAGUGAUUCUUCUUCCCUUGCUCGAAUCCCCCCAUCUUCUUCACUUGAAUCCUCCCUUCUCCGAUCAGGCGUGAAGGAAGAAAGUUCGAAUUCUAAGAAAGCGGAAGGAUCCCAAGACCGAGGUAAAUCCUCGAUUUAGAUGUAUGGACGGCUUGGAAUGUGCACACUUGGAUUACGCCCGCCUCACGCUUCCGUUAUUAAGUCUAUUAAAAUAGGUUAAGUUUUGGUCAUAUGUAUCUAGGUCUAUGUAGUAUGUCGAUAACUCGUGUGGUAAAAACUUAGUAGUCGAAGUCAUGUCGUGUCCAAUAUAGACUUUGUUGUUUGGGUUUUUGUCAAGGAUGUUAAGCGUUGAAGUUGGUAUGUAUAACAGGGUGUUAAUGGUUUUUAAACGAA